rnacentral:rRNA from 1 species
GACGAACGCUGGCGGCGUGCCUAAUACAUGCAAGUAGAACGCUGAAGGAGGAGCUUGCUUCUCCGGAUGAGUUGCGAACGGGUGAGUAACGCGUAGGUAACCUGCCUGGUAGCGGGGGAUAACUAUUGGAAACGAUAGCUAAUACCGCAUAACAGUAGAUGUUGCAUGACAUUUGCUUAAAAGGUGCAAUUGCAUCACUACCAGAUGGACCUGCGUUGUAUUAGCUAGUUGGUGAGGUAACGGCUCACCAAGGCGACGAUACAUAGCCGACCUGAGAGGGUGAUCGGCCACACUGGGACUGAGACACGGCCCAGACUCCUACGGGAGGCAGCAGGAGGGAAUCUUCGGCAAUGGACGGAAGUCUGACCGAGCAACGCCGCGUGAGGGAAGAAGGUUUUCGGAUCGUAAAGCUCUGUUGUAAGAGAAGAACGAGGGUGAGAGUGGAAAGUUCACACUGUGACGGUAUCUUACCAGAAAGGGACGGCUAACUACGUG